rnacentral:rRNA from 1 species
UACGGGGGGCGCAAGCGUUGUCCGGAAUUAUUGGGCGUAAAGAGCUCGUAGGCGGUCUGUCGCGUCUGUUGUGAAAACUCGAGGCUCAACCUCGGGCUUGCAGUGGAUACGGGCAGACUAGAGUGCGGUAGGGGAGACUGGAAUUCCUGGUGUAGCGGUGGAAUGCGCAGAUAUCAGGAGGAACACCGAUGGCGAAGGCAGGUCUCUGGGCCGCAACUGACGCUGAGGAGCGAAAGCAUGGGGAGCGAACAGG